UGCCCGACACCCCCGCCCCCGAGGGCUCGGUUCAGCUCCGCCGACCUGGCUGUCGCCUGCGGUGUUGGGUUCUCGCGCAGUCAGGUGUCGUCCGGGGAAGGCGCAGUUAUUUAUGACCGCGGGGUUGGGCUGGGAAUGCGGGGCCGAGGAGCAGCCGGUUGCGCCUCCUCCUCCCCAGGCUCUCCCCAGCCAGAGACCCCCGGUUCCCCAGGUGAAGGCCGCCCGGAGGGGACCCCAGGCCGCGCAAUCGUAGGGGUCGCUCUCGGACAGCAGCGAACCUCAGCGAACCAACUUCUCGCGAGGUUUCGGGUGCCGCUCCACCGCCUCGUCCGCCUCCUCCUAGCUCCGGUGCGGGCAGCUCCCGCGAUGGCUGCGCUGCGGAGGCUUCUGCGGCCGCCGCCUCGGCUUCCGCCUCCGCCCUCGCCUCCCCGUUCCUUCACUGGGCCGUGCGGGCGGCCUGCGGGCAUAGCUCCGGGCUCUCCCGGCCGGCCCUUCUGUCGGGAGGAGGAGGGGGCUGUGGCUGAAGCGGCUUGGAGGCGGCGGCGGCGCUGGGGGGAGCUGAGCAUAGCGGCAGCGGCCGGCGGGGGUCUGGUCGGCCUGGUGUGCUACCAGCUGUAUGGGGACCCCAGGGCCGACUCCGCGCGGGCGCCGGCCCCCUGGCUCCCCUCCAAGAGCGCGGCCGCAGAGCCGGAGGAACCGCCCCGCGGCCGGGGGCUGCUUCCCAUCCCGGUCGCCGCUGCCAAGGAGACGGUUGCUGUUGGCAGAACAGACAUUGAAGACCUAGAUCUCUAUGCAACAUCUCGGGAAAGGCGAUUUCGUUUGUUUGCUUCUGUAGAAUGUGAAGGGCAGUUAUUCAUGACUCCAUAUGAUUUUAUUUUGGCUGUUACAACAGAUGAGCCCAAAUUUGCUAAAACAUGGAAGUCACUUUCCAAGCAGGAAUUAAAUCAAAUGCUAUCAGAAACACCACCAGUUUGGAAAGGAUCAUCAAAGCUAUUUCGAAGUCUUAAAGAAAGAGGUGUGAUUUCUUACACAGAAUAUCUUUUUCUUUUAUGUAUUUUAACAAAGCCACAUGCAGGUUUUAGAAUAGCUUUCAACAUGUUUGACACCGAUGGCAAUGAGAUGGUAGAUAAAAAGGAGUUUUUGGUGCUUCAAGAAAUAUUCAGGAAAAAAAAUGAAAAGAGAGAAACUAAAGGAGAUGAAGAAAAGCGUGCAAUGCUGCGUCUUCAACUUUAUGGAUACCAUUCUCCUACUAAUAGUGUACUUAAAACAGAUGCUGAGGAACUUGUCUCCAGAAGCUAUUGGGAUACACUGAGACGUAAUACAAGCCAAGCACUCUUUUCAGACCUCGCAGAGCGUGCUGAUGACAUUACAAACUUAGUAACAGAUACUACACUUCUUGUACACUUUUUUGGAAAGAAAGGAAAAGCUGAGCUCAACUUUGAAGAUUUUUAUAGAUUCAUGGAUAACCUCCAAACAGAAGUUCUAGAAAUAGAAUUCCUUUCCUACUCUAAUGGGAUGAAUACUAUCAGUGAAGAAGAUUUUGCUCAUAUUCUUUUACGAUACACAAAUGUGGAAAAUACAUCAGUAUUUUUGGAAAAUGUGCGUUAUAGUAUACCUGAAGAAAAGGGCAUUACAUUUGAUGAAUUCAGGUCAUUUUUCCAGUUUUUGAACAACCUAGAAGACUUUGCAAUAGCCUUGAAUAUGUAUAAUUUUGCAAGUCGCUCUAUAGGGCAAGAUGAAUUUAAACGUGCCGUCUAUGUAGCCACUGGCCUCAGACUUUCACCACAUUUAGUGAACACAGUCUUUAAGAUUUUUGAUGUUGACAAAGAUGAUCAAUUAAGCUAUAAAGAAUUCAUUGGAAUUAUGAAAGACAGACUCCAUAGAGGAUUCCGGAUUUCCACUAGGCAACGUGAGGUUCUUAAGUCACUGCAUAUUCAGUACUUUUUAUAUGGAAAAUGAGGGUUAUAAAACAGUUCAGAAGUAUCCCACUUUCAAAUCCUGUCUGAAGAAGGAACUUCAUAGCAGAUAAGCACUUCUAAAGCAAAGUUUAAAGGAUUAUCAUCUACUUGAAAGUGCAAGAAGCAAAAACUUCCGAGGGCGGAAGCAGGUCUGAGAUCAGAACUUGUGUAAAUGAAGGAAAAGGUGAAAUGCUAACUAUUUUUUCUUUAACUGAAUUUUUGAAUAUAAGAUGCAUCUUCUUACUGAUUACUAAUGUUACAUGUUAUCAUGCAUCUUCUUACUAAUUACUAACGUUACGUGUUAUCAUGUUGAGCUUUUGACUUGAUUUACUGAACUCUGCACUUUUUCAUUCCCUUCGGAUUCUUCCAGUGACUAUAUAAGAAUGUAUUUUAAUUUUUAAAAAAAUUUAUUAGAAAUUUGUCUCAUUUCAAAAUAAUGUAUGACUCCUGGAAUCUAGAUCACUUAAAAAUGAACAGCAACAUAUUUUUGGUUUUAGACUGAACUUAUUAUCAGAAAAUGAAUAUUCCUUGAGAUUUAUCUUAGGGCCCUUAGAAUUGUUAAUAGAUCUCCAGGCUUUUAAUUACAUUGAAGUAAUUUUGAAACACAAAUAGAAAUUAAGCUACUAUACAAUAUGAUGGUUUACACUGUACUUUUAACUUUUAAAAUUGCUUAAUUAACAUAUAUUGUUUGAAUCAUAAAGUUUUUUUUAAAGUUUUUGUUCAUUUACCAAAGUCAACAGAAUGUCUGAUAUUAUUUUAUGUAUACAGUAAUUUAAAAUGUAAAUUUUUUUUCUCAAAAAAACUCAUACAUUAAUGGUAGAAACAGUGGUAGUUUUUGUAUCAGUAGUCACUGUUGUUGUCGUUAUUGUUUUAAACAUGGUGCAGCUCCUGAUAGCAGAUGGUACAUGUUAAUAACAGUAGUAAAAAUAAUAUCUUGAGGCUCUGUAACUUAUCGCAUAUUGUUAUUAUGUGUCUGUGGUGUCAAAAUGAGUAUUAUAAAAGAUUAAUAUAAAAUGGUUUAGCAGACUGAAGUAUAUAUUAGGUAGAAGUUAAUAUUUGUUUCUUGCGAAAGGACCACAUGUUAAAGUAAUGCCAAACAGCCAGUAAUCAUGAAUACUUUAAAUAGAAUUUAUUAUUUCAAAAUGUCUUAAAAGAGAAAAGAUAAACUUUCUAUUGAAAAACAGCAAAAUUAGAUUUUCUCCUGGAGAAAAUAACUUGAUAGGAUUUAAUGGAAAUCUGUUCAAUUAAAAAAAUGUAGUUUAUAAAAAGUUACUAUGCAAAAAUAGAACAAUGAAUCUAAAUUAUACUGUAUGUGGAAGAUAGGUUCAUUUAUCUUCUAAGAUGUACUAAAUAUAAACUGCACACACUCCAACUGUUAUCUUGCUUUUACUAUGAAAAUAGGAAAUACUGACUUUGUUUUUGUUAAGUUAUUAAAGGUGAAAUUGAUAGUUCUGUAUCAGCCUAUUUAUAAAAGUAAUGUUAUUCCCAAGAAUAUGUUGUUAGCAUUGACAAUGCAUUUUUAGACUUUUUACAUUCUUUUUCUGAUAUUAUUUAUUACAUUGAUAUAGAAAUAUGUGAUUCAUCAGUUUUAGGAUUUCACAUAGUAUAAUUUCACCUGCUUUGCAGGUUGAUUCAGUUGAUUAAGUAAAUGAAAAUGUCUACCUUCUCAUUUAACGUGCCCCAGCUCUAUUUUACCUUACACUGAAUGUUCUCAAUAUUAUUUGCUAUCUAAAAGAAUGGAAAAAUGCAACUUACUUUUAUCUUUAAUUAUAAACUAAAUUAUCUUGCAUAUAUGGAAAAAUUGCUAUUUAGAACAGUCCUAUAAAUAGAUAUUAAAAACUGAAUUAGCUCAUUAAGAUUCUUUGUAAUUCUGCCAUUCUCCCAAGGAAUAUUACAUAUGUAACCUUUAUUCUUUAUUGCUUAUCAGAGUGAAUGGAUACUCAUCUGCUUAUAAGACUGCAGCAUAAUAUUAAAAUGCAAAUAAAUAAAAUAUUCUGAUGAAUUAAAAUGGAAAAGAGUAGUAAAUUAUGGUGAUUCUCCACAUAUUAUCAGUCUUGAACUUCAUCAUCUAUAAAAUGGGAGGUAAAAAUAUCUCACUGGACUGUUGUUUACAUCAAUUUUUAAAAUUUUAAGUACUUUGAAAAUAGUAAUGUACUAAAUACAUGUAUGCUAUUCUCAGUAUUUCCUUCUACAAACUAUUCCUUGGAAAGAUGAAGCUAUACAUGAAAUUUUAGUAUCAUACUCUUUACAGAAGACUUUAUGAUGAAAGGUUUAUGGUAAUUCUCAGAAUCAUUUCUUAUUAUGAAUUCCAUUUAAGUUCCAGUUUAUUGUUCUUAUUAUAACUGUAAAGUGACCUGUCUUACAUUCUUAUGUUAUCUUAAAAUAAAUACACUUGCUCUUGAA